UUUUUUUUUUUUUUUUUCCUCCCUGAAGCUAAAAGUUGCAUCCCUAUUGUGCAGAAAAUAGGAAACAGAUUUGUUCUUCUCAAAUGUGUUGGGUCUUUAAAUGGAAACUGGGAGGAGCUGGAGGGGACAGCCUGCAGCCCUGCCACAUUCUUUCCAUUGAUACACAUGGACACCAGGAAAAAGUCUGAUUCUGAUCCCCUAAAACAAUAGAUAUGGAAAUGUUUUCUCUUUGUUUAGUUUUUCUUCUGUCCAUCUUAAUGUGAGCAGAGCAGUAAAAAGCAGUACAUGGCCUGGUCUAAGGCUGUUAGUCAGUGGAAAAAUAGAGAGCUGCUUUCUCCACAGGUUCAAAUACCACUGCACUGGCCAACAACAACAACAACAAAAUGGUUUUAUCUCAGUGUGAGCUGAACUUAACAGUUAAAAAAUUAUCUGUUCAGGGUACGGCUCUGUCCAUGCUUACCCAAACGCAGCCAUGGAGGAGCAGUGUGCUUGACUGGAAGAAGCACAUAGAAUUUCCAGGUAAGCAGGUAGGUAAUUCCUCAUCUUCCUGCUACAAGGGUGUGAGGUGGAGGCUCUCACGGACGUGUCAUGAUGUAGAUACAGCUCAGCCGACUGACUUGGGCCUCAGUGACCACUGUCUGCCAGUCCUCUUCUUGUCAUCACUUUCUUCAAGAACCAUGAAGAAAGGGAAUCUGAUGAGGUCUGGUGCAGCCACAAGGCAAAGAGCAACCAGUGCCAGCAUGGUUUGUGCUGGAAUGGGAGAGGGCAAAAUGCAGGGGCUGAAGCUUCAGCCAGGGGGGCAGAGGGGCCAGUUCCUGUCUCACACAUGCACACACAGAGACCUGCCAGCAACCAGAGGCUUGAACUUAGCAUUUAUUUUGUUUACUAAUAAAAAAAUAUGCAAAUACUGGCUUUAACUUAUCUUAACCAUUGGGAUAAGCACCAGUAUAGAGCAUGCAGUAAUAUUGAUGUAGCUUUCGGUUCUCAGAAGCAAUUUGGUACAGUUUUGAAUAAAAAAUGAAGAAAACCAAUUAUCCUUAUGUUAGAUCUACUAUUCCAAGCCUUAUUUUUUCAUUUGCCUCAAUCUUGCAAUCUUACCUUUUGAAAUAACUAUGCGCAUUCUUGGCUGUUGCUCUGAAAUAUUAAUUAAACAAAAAAAAAGAAAAAAAGCAACACAAAGAACUACACGAAAAAAAACCCCAAACGUUGACCAAAAGGGAGUAAUUUAAUCCUCUUCAUAUGUUAAUUGCACAAAGGCUUUUAAGAGUUCAUAGUGAAAAAUUUGGCACAAGAAUGAGGUCAAAACCAGCAGUUCAGUCUUGCCCCAUGUCUCAAGUACUGAUGAGAUGUAUGAAACAAGACCUAUUUAAGCUGGAGGACAUUUAGUUAAUGACUUUAACAGCUAUGAAUGCCAGAAUUUUAACAGUCAAGUUGGUCAAGUAAUUCUGCACAAGGGUAACAGGAAAUCACUUUCAAUUUUCUUUAAUUCAUCUUCAUUUUUCAGACAGCCUGAGCUUAAAAAUAGUCUGAAUUCUGAAGAGGAUCCAAAUCCAACACUCUUUCUCUGCUCAACCAUCUCACAUAAAAAAGCACCUGAAUAUUAAAACAAUAUUAUUGGUCUCUCUCAAAUUCUGUUCAAUAAUCUUAGUGGCUGGGAUUUGAAUUUUAAAUUGUUGUAAUCAGAGAAAAGUUUGAAUCAGUCAUGGUUUUUGAGACAUGUUGGGUGAUACCUUGAUGUCCUGGGAGUUGCAAUCCUGAAGUUUAAUAAACAUGUUAUUAUUGCAGCCUGAGAAGGUGUAAAUUCCAAUGAAUUUACCUACUCGACAGAGCAGGUCUUGGGGUUUUUUGUCUUGCUUUUUUUUUUUUUUUUUCCCUUCCUUUAAUAACAGUAAGCCCAGCAAAAUUUGCCUUGAAUCCCCUUUCUAGAACAAUUCUUGUAGCAAAGUACCAGGUAAUAUUUCAGACUCAGUCACACAGCUGGCUUAUUGUGUUAGUGGGGAAAACCACAGGUGAGAAUCAGCUCCACAGAGAGGAGAGCCCAGAUGCAGUGUGCCUGCACUGGGAUCUGGGCAUUCUUUACAGGAUAAAUCUACCUCCUAGCCAGGCUAGGGCAGCAGGGGAAUCCAGCUGUGGGGGGUUCAUCAAGGAUUUAAUAAAAAUAUUAUGCCUGCUAAUAAACCAGGAUUCCAUGGAGGAUGGGGUUUUCCUGUUCAGAUCAGGUAGUGUAUCAGUUUGCAUGGAUUUUACCCAUCUUCACUUUUCAAUUUAAUGAAUAAUCAAACCCACAAAAGACACACUUGCUAAACAAAUUCAUGGAUUCCCAGCACUUCUUUCAUCAUCAGAACAACCAGGGGAAAAACACUAUAUAAACCACAUUGAAUUACAUUUGUGACCCGGUCCUAUGCCUAUGCUUCAAAAUUAUGUGUUUUUCAUUUUUUUGACCAACACUGUAGGAAUCAUUUGAAACAUAAAGGGAGUAUCAUUUUACAACAUUCCAAAACAAUAUUUCAUCUGGAAAAUUAAUGGUACCCAUAGAUGCUGGAGUAAAGACAGGCAACGCAGUUAGGAAGGUGCACCUCAUUUCCUAUCCCAGACAGCUGAAACAGAACAGAUGUCACACACAUACACACACAUACACACACACAGACACACACAAAAAGAAAAAAAAAAUGAAUCAAAAUCUAAAACAUGUCACCAAAGAAAUAAUUCAGGCAACAGUGAUACAGGGUCACAGACUCAUAUGAACUCCUUGUUAAAGACUCAUGUUUUCUACCUCCUGGAAAUAUAUGAUGAAGGAAAUGGAGAUAGGCAAAUUGUACCAGAAGCAUGGGAAUUUUUUAAAAUAUUGGGAGCAUUCUAAUAAAUACAAUAUUGCCUUUAGGCAGUUAACUGUGGUUCCUAAGACAAAUCUGGUGGUGUUCCUGCUUUCAACUCCUUGCAAUUUCUAGAUGUGCAUUAUUUAUGCUGUCCUAAUCAGAUCUUAUAUUAGCAUCAUUUAGACAAAGGAAAGGAUGCAUGUUAUUUAAAAAGAGAGGGAUGAAUGCUGAAGAGAGAGACAAAACUCAACUCUUUGGAAAGGUCUACUUUGCAAUAUCAAUAUUUAGGCAGAAUAAUUAGAACAAGAGUAGCCUGGGGAGGUAAAAACAAUUCUGAACAAUCUCAUGUAGCCUUGGAAAUUGAAAAAGCAAAAAUAUUGCUACUGAAGUACAAGUACAUAUAUCGUCUUAGGUUCUGAAUAUAAUUUAAUCAAUAAUGUCAUAUAUUAAUUAGCAUUAAUGCUAAAAUUAAGACAAAAGGAACCUUAGCUAAGAUUGCGUUACUUUGUUUUAAACAUUGCAUAAAUACUACUAAAAAACAUGUUAUCUUCAAAAGGCCUAAAGUACCUGAGGGAUCUUAGAAAACAGGAUGUGACCCUUUUCCUAUCCACUUCUUGGUAGAAAUAAUAAGACUAAUGACUAGAAGAGCUGUGGAUGAUACAAAGUUACCCUGAUUGUUCCCUCUCCUCAAAGUAGAACCAUGUAUCUUUGCUCAGACCUAACUCCUUUUAAAACCUCCAUAAUUUCAGUGUAGAAAUGAACGGUAAAAGCAAAAUUAUUACAAGCAAUAGCUGUAGUGGUUUUGUUGAAAUGAACCUAAAAUUAGGAUUUUUAAAGUGAUGUCAGAAAUUAUUCUCCAUUGGAAGAUACCUUCCCCUGUGUUCUACCCCUUCCAGAUUCCCAAUAUGUAAAAUAAACUACUCAAGUGAAGGAUGUACCAGAGGAAAUAACCAAAAGAACAAAAUGUGUGGCUAUUUUAUUGAGUCUUUCUCACUUUGUUGAUAGUUCCAAGACUUAAAAAUGUGAAAAAAUUCCCACCAACUCUUGUGAGAAAGGCUCCAAGUGUUAAAAAUGUAUAUAUAUUAUAUACUAUAAUAUAGAAGUUUAUGAUAUACAGUUUGACACAUAUUCUGAGAAAUUUUAUUGACUCUGAAUUUUUUUUAGCAAUGUUUUAACUUUUAUAUUCUGAGAUUUUCCCAUAAAGCAAAAAUGGAAGAACCAGGACUUUCUCCCUAUGUUUGCACUUUUUACUAUUGGAAACUGGAUGUCUAAAGCAAUCACAUAAUGCUGGGAACUAGGUCUUCGGGGAAAAAACUGACAUUAUUUAGCAAGAAGUGUUAGCAUUGCCCCCAGUAAUCCCCAUAAUUUGAUAUCGGAAUGAAAUUUUUAAUGUGGAUGUUAAAAGGUUUUAAUGUGCACAUUUUUUUUUAAUAACAGCCAGUCCAGGUCUAGGCCUGUGAAUGAUGAUGCCACGUUUUGUUAAACUCCUGAGCAUGAAAGCCUAGAUCAAGCUGACAUUGAAGCCAACAGCAUCCCACAGGAGUUUCCAUCAAAGAUGUAUUGUGCUUUAUGAAGGCCAUGCAACUGGCUCAAAUCUCCAGAAAAAAAUUGCCAGUAAGUUAAGACCAGAUGUAACUAAUUUUGUUCUUAUGGGCAAAAAAAUCCUGGCCAUUACAUUAACUAAUGAGGUACUGCACAUGUGCAGGUUAUGGCUGUUUGUCCUCUAGUUCUUGUGUUUUUAACAACAGACCUUUAUGUAGGUUUCUUGUUAUCUCUGGAUGUGAUAUUGCCCAAAUUUUCCAUUUGCUGCAGCUAUUUCUAAAAACAUGGUAGCAGGGAAGGAGUACUACAUAACUUAAUACAAUUUCAUUUUUCAUUUUAUUCUCUUGUGAAAGUAUCUAUCUGCUUAGCUAGCUCCUAAAGUGCUUUGCAACCCUAUCAUCCUCAGAAGCAACUAUUUUAGGGCUUGAAUUUUAUUAUGUCCUACUUAAUGGAUGAGUUACUGUCACUUCCACAGCUGUCAGUCUCAGUGCAUGCUUGCCUUUACCACAGUGACUGCCACUGGCUAAAGUGAAGAGAACCCCUCUGUUAGUAUGUGCAAGCUUGUACUGUAACCACUGAAAGCUGAUGAGCUCAACUGUGAACUAAGGCACAAGAGUCUUGGGGAAAACAACUAUAAAGAACUCUCAAUAAUGGUAUUUCUUAAUAGGUUUAAUAAUUAUUUGUCAAUAUUAUUUUCUCAUUUUUUUUUCUAUUGCUGUGAUUUCAUUCAGAUUUGUAAUCAAUGUUCUGCAGUUGCUCUGAAGGAGAACUCUUAACAUUUGUGCAUAAGAAAAACUUGUUAAAACCACUUAUAUUUGUCUUUAAAUUUGAAGUUUAGCAUCAUUAUUAUUAAACAGGUGAACUCUUUUCAAAUUGACAAACAAAUCAGAAGGCAAGAGAACAUUCUGGUAAGUGGAAUUUCUUCUUUGUUCAUGCAUUCAGGCUCAGAAUUGUGCUGUUUGCAUCAUAUUGCGUAUAUAAAGAGUGUUGUAAUGGUUGCUCCCAAAAUACUACCAAUUUGCCUGAAAGGGAAUAUAUUAAGAAUUAUUUUUUUGAUUAUAUAGGCACAAUUGGAUUGAAAACUAGUGAUUAUGUAUUUCAAAAUGUGGUUACUAGAGUUUUAACCAGAAAAUGUUGUGCCAUGAUUUAGCUCAUAGGAAAAGGAUCAGAAUACUUCUAAUGUUUUAAUCACUUGCCUGCCAUAGAGUUAGAGCCUCUAAUCUGUUAUUGCUAGCUUGGUAGAGAGUAAAAUUGACCAUUUCAGUCCAGUGCCCUGGGCAAAGCUAUUUAGUACUGUGUCUGAUACUGGCUGAUUGCCUUAAUAAAGCAUCAAGGACUGAUUUGGUGGGAUUAUAAAUGCUGUCUUCUCUAUUUCUAAAGCCAGUUCUUUCAUAGAAUAGUUAGGCACGUGGGUGUAGUGCCUUGUGAAAAAAUAGGUACUAGCAAAUCAGGUUCUUCCUGGGAGAAAUUGAAAGGGAAAUUUGCAUUCUAAUUGUAGAGUAAUUUUCUGCCAUAUGUUUGAAAUCAAUUAAAAAUGUCAAUUUUAUUGGUUCGUUUUCAUAGGAAAAACAUGUUGUUUCUACAUUUUGCUUUGAUUUUACAAUGCAUAGUGACAAACCCCCAGAACACAGAACUGACGUGGUAGCUGUUGCUUGGCCCUUCAUAAUAAAAUACCAUUUUCUUUUGGUUUAAACUUCUCCCUAAAUUGCAAAACUAGAAUGAAAUAAACAUGUUUGUUUAUGUAAAAAAAAAAAAAAAGGUGGUCAUAUACACAAAGCAAUUUUUUUUCAUCAUAACUAAGGUAUUUUAUUUUUAAUGCAGUAGACUUAAAAUCCUGGAUAUGUAGAACUUCCACUCCCAGGAAUGCCAGCACAAACAAAAGAAGAAAGUAGUGAGAGAAGCCAACAUAUGAAGAGCAGCCUUUUAAAUGCUGGGGAUCUGGAAAGGCCUGCUGUGUCGCAUUAUAUUUGUGGAUUUCAAACUGCAGCAUGCAGAU
ensembl:lncRNA